CCUAGAGUUGUAGGCUUUGCCUGCUAUCUCUUACCCAUGUCUUUUGAGUACUUACGUUUCCUCGGCGGGUCCGCCCGCCGAUUGGACAAUUUAAACCAUUCGCAGUUGCAAUCAGCGUCUGAAAAACUUUAAUAGUUA
rnacentral:misc_RNA from 1 species